ensembl:lncRNA
UUUCAAAAUCUCAAAUGUAAGCCACAAAUAGACUUUUUUAUAUUUAUUUUUACUUAUUUACUUAUUUGGCUGUGCCAGAUCUUAGUUACUAACAUGUGGGAUCUAGUUUCCUGACCAGGAUUGAACCUGGGCCCCCUGCACUGAGAAUACAGAGUCUUCACGACUGGACCACCAAGGAGGUCCCACAGACAGGCUCUUUGAUAAAAACUUCAAAGCUUAAAGAGAGGAGAAAGACAAAAAACAAGAGAAUUUUAGUUUGUUCUCAAAGAAUGCCAGAUGAAAAAAAUAAAAAAGAAGAAGAAAGCCUUAAGCUCAUAAGCACAUAAUCAGAUCUUCCUGCCUUUCAUGCGGACCGUUGUUUGGUAAAUUCUGCUUUAUGUUCCAAAAGAACAAAGUGGCAAUGUUCUCACACAAUUCUAGUUUUGCAACAAAGUCUGGUGAAAUGUCAUGUUCUCAGUAUUCAAUAUGUGGGUUUUUAAGGGCAGUCUCCUUGCCUUAAUGUCAAAAGCAAG